UUAGAAACGCUCUCCUUCGGAUCUGAUGCAGUUGCCUCUCAGAUUCUGCAGUCUCCCUCAAUCUGAUUGGUUACGUAUCAUGAGUAACAGCCAAUCAACACCACAGCUGCUGCCGUGAGGGCGGAGUCAAAGGGAAGGCAACAGAUACUGACAAAAUUACGAUAAACGUCACAAUCCCAUCAUCCACAGCCAACUGAUUUCUCCCAUUGGCUCUGUGGCUAACUUAGCUAACUGUCCGACUGCAGCUACAGCAAGUAACGAUAAAAGUAUUCGUCCAUCAGGAAACGCCGUAAUCCACCUCCCAACCGGAUUCUCUGUGGUCCAACAGGCCACAGAGAAUCCUCCUCCAGUGGUGUUUUUUGGCGUCCUGGGAUCUGCCUGUCAGUAAACACCUCUGCGGCGGGCACAGACGUCGAGCUAACGGCAUCGUUUCAGCCAUUAGAGCCGAGGACUCCAGUCGGAGGAGACGGCCUCAUUUCCUCCUCCAUGCUCCUCGUGGGAGCACCAGGAGCCGUUUAGAACCGCGUGAGGUGUGUGUGUUGUCAGAGACACUCGACGCCCAGUGGUCCAAUCAGAGCAGACACUUUGUGCCAUCUUUAAAAGAUAAUUUCAGAGCUUGUGAUCUUAACAUGAAAUCACUGGAUGGAGGCCAUGUGACAUCAACACAAACAGAAAUUCUUCUUCUGUGGCUUCCUGACGGUGCCGACGACUGGCGGUGGAUUCAGCAGUGAACAGAGUGCAGAGCUGGAGCCUCUUCGCAGCUUUUAUUUCACGGCUGCCCCGAGCCUCAAUGGGACUGUCAGCACUGAAGAAUACCUCCUCCUCCUCCUCCUCCUCCUCCUCCUGCUCCGCUCGCCGGGAUUCAGCCGCCGUCCAGCCGGCUGACAGCUUCCCCACCGUAUCGCCUGGCGACUGAAGGGACCACACACACGCACACUCGAUGCCCUUCAUGCCGGGUAAUUCUUCUUGUUGGCUUUUUUGGAGGGUGAGACUGUGCAGCCACAGGUCUUUUCUCUUUGGCACUUUUUACCCUCAAGGACUUCCAAACAAAUUUCAAGCAUGAGUGUAAAAGCUGUUGAGUGUUAUUAGACAAUGAAAAUGUCCUCUGUUUGUGUUCCGGGUCAACACCACACGACGCUCAUGUCUGUGUUAAUGUUUCAUGCAGUGUCCACAGUAUCGCUUGUGACACGUAAUAUCCUGUCAGGACCUCGCUGAAGGAUUACACCUCAGUUCUAUAUUUUCAUGAUUGUGAAACUUUUG